rnacentral:lncRNA from 1 species
AAAAAAAAAAAGGGACGGGCAUUUGCGUAUGUUCGCAAAGCCCCCCUCCUGCACCCCGAUCUGGUGUGUGAGCACCGUGUCCCGGGCACGGAGCUGGGAGCCUCGCCGACACCCUUUGGUGGGAUCUGCCCAUCAGAGCCUGUACUGUCCCCACUGUGCAAACAAGGAGGCUCAGGGUGUGCGGGGCGGGGGUCCGAGCUCGCCCCUCCACCCUGGGAGCUGAAAACUGAGGGUCUGCCUUGACGUCAGCCCAAGGUCAUUCCAGAACAAACAGGAAGUCUUAGAGGCAGGAACUGUAUGGAAUCCUGAAAACGUAAAUGAGGUCAGAAAGGCGUCAGGUCACAUCAGGGCUGGCAAAUCCAUUUGUGUUAGAGGCACACCUGCCUCUGAUGGUCUCUGGAAGUUUCCACAUAAUUGCUUUUUGCUGCGUACCAGGUGGUGUGUAUCGACGCAUUUAAUCAUCACAAAACCUUGCAAGGUGGCUGUGAUGACCAUGGUGAGCUGAUGAGAGAGUGGGGCUCAGAUUCCUGACUUGCUCAGAGCUAGUAGCCGGGUGCUGCGCCCCAUCCCUCAGAAGCUGCGCCCUUAAGGGCGCUCCCUCCCAUCGCCUCGACCCAGAGACCGGACCGGGGACCAGAGCCAGUCCAGCUGGGAGCUCCCGGACCUCCAGGAAGGCAAGAUCGAGGCCAUCAGCGACUCAGACGGGGUGAACUACCCCUGGUACGGCAACACCACGGAGACCUGCACCAUUGUGGGCCCCACCAAGAGAGACUCCAAGUUCAUCAUCAGCAUGAACGACAACUUCUACCCCAGCGUCACGUGGGCCGUGCCCGUCAGCGAGAGCAACGUGGCCAAACUGACCAACAUCUACCGGGACCAGAGCUUCACCACGUGGCUGGUGGCCACCAACACCUCCACCAACGACAUGAUUGUCCUGCAGACGCUGCACUGGCGCAUGCAGCUCAGCAUCGAGGUGAACCCCACCCGGCCCCUGGGCCAGCGCGCCCGGCUGCGGGAGCCCAUCGCCCAGGACCAGCCCAAAAUCCUGAGCAAGAACGAGCCCAUCCCGCCCAGCGCCCUGGUCAAGCCCAACGCCAACGACGCUCAGGUCCUCAUGUGGCGGCCCAAGUAUGGGCAGCCGCUGGUGGUGAUCCCGCCCAAGCACCGGUAACAGCCGGGGCGCCCUCGAGGUUCCGUCCAAGCCAGAGCACUGCUCAGACCACCCACACGGACUCUGCGGUCAUCCAGCAAAAUACAACCUUUCUACCUUCUCCAGCGGGCGGAUCUCACUGUGCGAACGCCCCGCCCCCCCAGGACCUGCUUCCCGGGGGAGGGGGAGACCCAGGCGGACCCACCACCCCGCGUGCGCCCUCGGUGUCACCCUGGGUCUCCUUCCCUCUCCUUUUCUCAUCAUUUCAGUCAUUCACGUGCAACAGACUCCCUGAAACAACUGCUUUUUCUCUUCUUUUUUCUUUUUCUUUUUUUUUUUUAAACCGCCUUUUUAUGAGGUUCAGGGGUGGGACGAGCAGGAGCUGGUGAUGAGCCUGGUUGGCACGGGGGCUGAUCCGCAGGCGCGGCAGCCCCUGCCGUGGCAGCUCCCCUCGUCCUCCGUCACGCGGCCUUACGUAGACUUGCUUUGCCAAACUUUUGCCUUAAGCUGAAUUUAAAGGAAAAACAAAAACAAAAAACCCGAAACAAAGAAAGCAGGAUCUCUUUUCUACUGGACUUUUCAUCUUCUGCCAGAGGUGCGGGGGGAGGGGGCCGGGUCAGGGACGAGAGGAAGAUGCUUCUGCCCCUGCCCCCCACCUGCAUGUUGCCGAGGGGGCCCGGGUACCAAUUGCGAUCGAAAACCAGCUGCUCCUUCUUUCCUUAGCAGAGAGCUGGCACCACAGACAGACGGCGCGUAAAAGGCCCCUUCUCUCCACCCCGGGUGGAAGCCCUGCCCUACCCUUGCCUGUGUGAGCGCGGGUCCGGGCAGGUCUGCCAGGGGCUUCUGUUGUCUCUUCUCUGCAGCUGGAACUAGCCUCGGGUGGGUCUAGGAGGAGAGAGGGAAGGUCCUGAGUUCGAGCUCGAGCCCUGGGAGUAUCCACCGCCUCCGUCCUCGGGGGGUCUACUGGCACGUCGAAGUGUGCAGCUUCUCUGUCUCCCCCGCACCGGUCCCAGACACCCCGAGGGCCAGCUGCUUUACCAGCCAUAGUUCCCUCCCUCCAUGCACCUUCUCAGGGGACACAGACAGGCUUUGAGUGCCAGGCACCGGAGGCGAGGACACCCAGAGCAGGCACUUCUGGGUCUGGGAAGGCAGGGGAGGUGGGAGGCAGACCCCCACCCACCCCACCCGGCUGCCUGCCCUCAAGGAAGUGAGCCAGGGCCCAGGGCUGGUCUGAGACAGUGACCGGUGGGCCAGUCCUUGCGGACACCCUCCUUCAGGGCCUGGGCCCCCCGGAGCCUGGAGCUUUUUGUGUCUGUCUUGAGGGCUGCCUGCAGGUGCAGAGGUGACACCCCACAGAAGCCCCUCCCUCCAGCCUUGCCAAACCCACAGCCACAUCACCUGGGCCCCCCAUUCGAACUAAGAAUAAUCAAGCACAGAAAACUGUCCGAUACGAAACAAACUCCAUUUCUGCUGCAGAUGAGCCACGUGUAGGAGUCCCAGUGACAGCGUGGGCAGGUGUGGGUCACUAAAUCCUUGCUCUGCUCCUUGACCCAUGAGACACUGUAUUUAUUCAAGGGGUGCUACCGUGCCGCCGUCUCCUGAGCCCCUCCUGAUGGGAGGCGUGCAGCCAUCCUGAACAACUGGACAGGAGAGGGCUUGGUGUGGCCGGCGGCUGGCCUGGUGCUGGGGGAACCCCUGUCAGGCCCAGAAUCUUCCCCCUGGGAAGUGCCAGGCCCCCUGGGUGUGUUUGGAGGCCCACCCCACAGAGAGGCUGUAGCCUCAAGUGAGGGGGCUGAGGGGUCCCGGCACCUCCUCUGGGGACAGGCUGGGGAGGGGCUGGGUGGCAGCGGCUGCCCUGGUGGGACCUGGCCUCUUGAUGGCAAGGCCCUUCUCUGAACUCAGGUCUUUUCUUGCACUAAAAAGGAGAAAGGGCCCUGAGCGAGGGGUCAGGAUCCGGACUUGGGGUUCCGGGCUGGGUCACAGCUAAGGAGUUCUCACUGGGGUCGGGGUGGGAGCGGGAAGGAACAGCGGGGGGUGGCCUGGAGCUGUCAGGGGGCCCUGUCUCCUGCGUGUGAGCUGGUCCCCUCGGCAGGGGCCCAGUGCUGUGCCCACUUGGAGGGGCAACGCUGCUCUGGAUGCCUCCCCCCCACCACCUGCCGCAGGCCUGGGCCCCCAGCUCACCUUGCUCUCUGGCUCAUCCCUCCCCCCCGAACCCCUGGCCCUUUCUUUCUGCCCCUCCCGGCCUUUCUGAAGUCAGGCCUGGGAAGACCCUGGGGAGGCUGCAGGUCUGGCUAAGGAUGCUCGGCUUAGCUUGGGUCUGGUCCCCCGGCCUCUCCCUCAUGUCAGGAGCACAGACCCCAGGCCUCGCCUGGGGCCCCGAGCCCUCUGGUGUCCUGCUGUGCAGCAUGGACACCCUCCUCCAGCAAUAAGGACCGUCCGUGGUCGUGGAGAGUACUGUGAAAACAAACCAAUGCACUUACCAGGAGGCGCGAGACUCUUGAAGAAAAAUGUAAAAUGAACCUUUUUAAAUAAAACCACAAGGAAUAUUCA